rnacentral:lncRNA from 10 species
UGCCCACUCUUUGGGUCCAUGCCAGCUUUUAUGAGCUGUAACACUCACCUCGAAGGUCUGCAGCUUCACUCCUGAAGUCAGCCAACCACAAACCCGCCAGAAGGAAGAAACUCCAGACACGUCCGAACAUGGGAAGGAACAAACUCUAGACACACCAUCUUUAAGAACUGUAACACUCACCACCAGGGUCCGCGGCUUCAUUCUUGAAGUCAGCGAGACCAAGAACCCACCAAUUCCGGACGCAAGCUGGUUAUUUUGAGAAACUCCAGACACAGGAGUAGCUCUGAAAACAAGGAUGAAGGUUGCCCUUUGGUAAGGGAAAUUUACAUCUAUGAAGAAAAUAUCUGGGGGGUGUCUCCUCUGCACCGGGAAGAGAGGGAUGACUAAACCACUAGAGGCUCUUAACGGAGAAAGGGAAAUGAUGGUAUUUCAGCCUGAAGUCUAAGACUAAGAUCUACUCUAGAGAUUUACUAAUUUCUCUGGAUUAUCACCAAUGUAUACAAGAGG